rnacentral:rRNA from 1 species
UACGUAGGCGGAAAAUUAAGUCAGUAGUGAAAUCCUGCAGCUUAACUGUAGAACUGUUAUUGAUACUGGUUUUCUUGAAUGUAGUUGAGGUAGGCGGAAUAUGUAAUGUAGCGGUGAAAUGCUUAGAUAUUACAUAGAACACCGAUUGCGAAGGCAGCUUACUAAGCUACGAUUGACGCUGAGGUACGAAAGCGUGGGGAGCGAACAGGAUUAGAUACCCUGGUAGUC